rnacentral:lncRNA from 1 species
UGAUGAUGAUGACAAUGACGAUGGAGACCAGGAUGACACCAAUGAUGACGAUGAUGAUGACAAUGACAAUGAAGACAACGAUGACACUGAUGAUAUGAUGAUGAUGAUGAAGAUGACACCAAUGACGAUGAUGAAGAUGACACCGAUGACGAUGAUGAAGAUGACACCGAUGAUGAUGAUGAAGAUGACACCAAUGACGAUGAAGAUGACUCCAAUGACGAUGAUGAAGAUGACACCAAUGACGAUGAUGAAGAUGACACCGAUGAUGAUGAAGAUGACACCAAUGAUGAUGAAGAUGACACCAAUGACGAUGAUGAAGAUGACACCAAUGAUGAUGAAGAUGACACCAAUGACGAUGAUGA